rnacentral:rRNA from 1 species
AGUUGUAAUUUGGAGAGGGCAACUUUGGGGCCGUUCCUUGUCUAUGUUCCUUGGAACAGGACGUCAUAGAGGGUGAGAAUCCCGUGUGGCGAGGAGUGCGGUUCUUUGUAAAGUGCCUUCGAAGAGUCGAGUUGUUUGGGAAUGCAGCUCUAAGUGGGUGGUAAAUUCCAUCUAAAGCUAAAUAUUGGCGAGAGACCGAUAGCGAACAAGUACAGUGAUGGAAAGAUGAAAAGAACUUUGAAAAGAGAGUGAAAAAGUACGUGAAAUUGUUGAAAGGGAAGGGCAUUUGAUCAGACAUGGUGUUUUGUGCCCUCUGCUCCUUGUGGGUAGGGGAAUCUCGCAUUUCACUGGGCCAGCAUCAGUUUUGGUGGCAGGAUAAAUCCAUAGGAAUGUAGCUUGCCUCGGUAAGUAUUAUAGCCUGUGGGAAUACUGCCAGCUGGGACUGAGGACUGCGACGU